rnacentral:misc_RNA from 1 species
GCUUUUAGAGCACUGUGAUGUAACAUGUCAAGCAGAAAUAGGGAGCAUGUUUACAGCCAUUCUAUGAAAAAGUGUUCGGAAUGUACAGACUAGCACAGAAGCUGGACUAAUUGAACAAGUAUUGCUGAAAAUGAGUGCUGUAGAUGACAUGAUAGCAGAGUACCUUCAAGUUUAAAUCUGAGAGUGAUAUUCAUUUGGCAGAACAUCAUAAACAGGUUUUGUAUGAUGGGAAACUUGCAAGUAGCAUUACCUUUACAUAUACUGCUAAGGCCACUGAUGCUCAACUCUGCCUGGAAUCAUCACCAAAAGAGAAUGCAUCAAUUUUUGUGCAUUCCCAACAUGCUCUAAUGCUUCAGAUUCAAGUGCUUUUUCCACUGUUUCCCCAAUUGGAUAAUCGGCAGCUCAAUGACAGUCAAGUGGAAACAACUGUCUGCUCCUGCUUCAGGUGCAGAAAUACAGCGAUUUCCAGUGCCAGCUGUUGAGCCAGUGCCAGCACCAGGGGCAGAUUCCCCUCCAGGGACAGCGCUGGAGCUAGAGGAAGCUCCAGAGCCCUCCUGCCGCUGCCCUGGGACUGCCCAGGACCAGCCCAGUGAGGAGCUGCCUGACUUCAUGGCACCUCCUGUAGAGCCACCGGCCUCAGCCCUGGAGCUGAAAGUGUGGCUGGAGCUAGAGGUGGCAGAGAGGGGUGGCCAGCACAGCUCCAGCCAGCAGCUCCCACACUGCUCCCAGUCCUGGGCACAGUGGAAGCUAUGGAGGCAGAGACCAGGGUUUGCAAUCUGGGCUCCUCUGCCUCACUGGAGAGGGACUUCUCCCAUUCAGCAGAGCAGCAGCCCUGCUGCUGAAGGGCCUGCUGCUACUGCUGCUGGGGGUGUUUGCCUGCCUGCAGGAGGUGCUGGAGAGCAAGAAAAGGAGCCUGUGAGCAGGGGUUCCAGCAGGUCCUCCUGCUCCCAGAGGCGACCUCCUCCUCCAGGCAUGGAGGUUUGCCCUCAGCUGGGCAUCUGGGCCAUUUGCCCCUAAUGUGCUGCCCAGGAUGGCCUCUUCUUGACAGGCGGACAGGGGGUGAGGGGGCCAGGGGCAUCUCCAAAGGAAGCUUUUAAACUCAGCAGCUGCACCCCAGAAUCUGUAUGCCUGCACCUGCCCAAGGAUUUAUUCAUAGCUUACCUAAGAAUUUCAAAUUUCUACCAUAACACUGAAAUAAAGUUUGACUUUUUGAAACUUC